CUUGGUCUCCUUCUCUCCAGCCCCCUCGUUUUCGACUUCGCCUCCCAGCCCAAUUGCAGAUCGACAUCGACUUCGCCCCCAACCCCAUGAGUUCAUCUCCCUUCCCCUCCAUCUCUGACCUCAUCUCUGACCGUGGACGAAGCAAAUUUUUAUUUCUCUUCCCGCUUGGCAUUCUCCUUCUCCCCAUCCCCAUCGAGUUCGCCCUCCCUAGCCCCAUUGAGUUUGUCCAACCCAGCCCCACGAGUUCAUCUUCCUUCCCCUCCAUCUCCAAAGGAAUCUCCGACCGGCACAAGCAAACCUGCUUCCAAAGAAACCACAGCAAAGAGUGACUUGUCUAUGGUGCUUGAGGAUCUAGAUCGGACAAUGAAACAUGCUAAUAUUGAAGAUGGAAAGCAUAUAGCAAGAUAAAUUUCAAUGUGUUCUUUCAGACAACCCAACAAGCUUCUUCUACAAUCACUUCUACCUAGAAGCUUCAGUUGCAAUCUAAAUCCAUACAAAAUUGUGUUCUUAUGGAGAGAUCCUUCAAACAAUGGAGCUACCUCCAAAUCUGCAAGAUGAUGGCUCUGAAUUAUAGGAGGCAUUUCUAAUUUGUUCUUUGUUAAGUUGAUGUUUUGCAUUAUGAUGUAAACAACAAUGUAAUAUGCAGUGUAUUGUGAGUAUUGAUAUC